CCCCGCGCGCGCGCGGCAGGCGCCACCGGCGGCGGGACGCUCCGUUAUCCUUGCCCUCGGCCGGCCCGCCAGAAACUAACGCCCAAGCCGGCUGGUUGACUUCACAUCUCUGGAACCCGUGUCUUUUCCUGUCUGGCCGGCAGGCCUGCCCCGAGAAGGGAGAAGGGGGCAGGCAGGCAGGCCUGUUUGUGUUAGGUGAAGUAGUCCAGCCUUCAAGCUUCCAUCUCCUGAGCGCUGGUGCCCCUGGGAUGGGAUGAUUAUCUCUGGAAAUACAACGUCCCAUAGACAGCUUUAGAACACCUGGCUCCUGGCUCUGGCUCUGCUCCUGGCACACCAUCCC